ACUAGAAGUCGUACUACAUAUUUUGCUAGGGGUAAGGGUGUGACCAGGUGUUAAUGCACUACGGUUACACUGUCUUGUGUUUAUAGUCAUAUGAAACUAGACUUUGCUAAACUGGAAAGCCAAGCUAAUACAUAUUUAGCAAAGUCUAAUGUCAUCGCACCACAAAGCUGGUUGUAAACGAUGCAGCGACUGCAAAUGCAGCAUUUAUGUCUGUAUCGCUUCAUGCUUUGUCAUUAAAUUAGUUGUGCUAUCUCGCUUGUGCCAACGUAAGCUAAAUGGAGUUGAUAUUCUGUGCAGCAUAGGAAUGUUGAGUGAAAUGAGAUUGUAUGCCUCACACGUACACAUGCUCUCAUGCAGCCGUUGUAUCGUAUACAAACAGCUUAAAAGCUAUGUACAUAUACAGUAUGUCUAUUAAUGGUUUGCAAAAUGAAAAAAGUCACGGAAGUUCAACUUAAACAUAAUUAUUUAUUAGAAAAGGCACUUGUUUUCAUGUUCAGUCAUAUACAAUGGUUUUCUUUAGUGUAUUCUUAACAAAAUAGGUAACAAAAGAAAAUGAAAAAGAAACAAAAACAUAAACAAUUCAUAAAAACAAAAAAAAACAGCAAAUAUCGUGUGUCUAUUAAAUCUUUGCAAAAUGCAAACAGUAAUUUUCACAAAUGGAUAUCUUUAAAGGAUGCAGCUCUAUGUGGCUAAUAUUUUGUGUGUCCUCCAUUAGCAUCCAAUACUCCUCUGAGACGUCGCGACAUCGAUGAUAUUAGGACAUUUAUGUCGUAAUAUUCGGGUAUUUUUAGCCACUCCUCGUUUAUACACUGAAUCAAAUGACUUUUUGAGGUGGGGCGUCGUUUGGCCACCC